rnacentral:rRNA from 1 species
UCUUUAAAUAAGGACCAGUAUGAACGGCACCACCGAGGGCUUAACUGUCUCCCCUCUCCAAUCAAUGAAACUGAUCUUCCCGUGAAGAAGCGGGAAUAAUGACAUAAGACGAGAAGACCCCAUGGAGCUUCAAACUAAUUAUCAUCUACUUCAAAAAUAUCUAAUAAAAUAGUAGUAAUGCUCUCAAUAGUUUUCGGUUGGGGCAACCCCGGAGUAAAAUAUAACCUCCAGGAUGAACGGACAAAACCCUAAUUAAAGAAUUACCAUUCAACAACUCAAAAAUUUGACAUCAUUGAUCCAAUUAUAAAUUAAUUGAUCAACGAACCAAGUUACCCUGGGGAUAACAGCGCAAUCCAUUUCAAGAGCCCCUAUCGACAAAUGGGUUUACGACCUCGAUGUUGGAUCGGGGUAUCCUAGCAACGCAGCCGUUGCUUAUGGNUCGUUUGUUCAACGAUUAAAACCCCACGUGAUCU